GCAUGAAGGACUAGCCAGGGAGGGAGGGUUGCAUGUUGUAUAUAUUAAAAUGUGUAGGCCUUUAAUGUCACAUGACAGGAUUGCUGGGAGGGCCUGAUUGAUUUCAUUUUCCUGAUGGAGUGUUUAUUUUUCAAAAAUCUGAGCAACACCAGUGAGGGUGAACACUGACUUGCUCAACAUUUGCUUAUAGAGAUUUUCUACCUCUUCGUUACAACAUGAGUCCCUUACAUCUGCUUUACCUUCGCCUCUUCCCAUUUUUUCCACUGUGUCCAGUUCCCGCUGUCCUUGCUGCCAUUUAACACACAAAGAAACUGAGUAUCUUUAAAAAAAGAAGUUGCUUUGGCAGACUUUAUUGACCCCCUCCCUGCAAAGAAAAAUAGUUACAGCAUGAGACAGUCCCCAGGAGAAGAGAGAGCAGAAUUCAGAGGACGACAUUUAUCCUGGACUAUUUGGGUGUUUAUUUUUUAACAAUUCUUGUGAGAAGAAUGCCGAUUUUUUUUCUGCCAGCUUGCAA
rnacentral:lncRNA from 1 species